rnacentral:rRNA from 1 species
GAUGAACGCUGGCGGCGUGCCUAAUACAUGCAAGUCGAGCGAACAGACGAGGAGCUUGCUCCUUUGACGUUAGCGGCGGACGGGUGAGUAACACGUGGAUAACCUACCUAUAAGACUGGGAUAACUUCGGGAAACCGGAGCUAAUACCGGAUAACAUGUUGAACCGCAUGGUUCAACAGUGAAAGACGGUCUUGCUGUAACUUAUAGAUGGAUCCGCGCCUCAUUAGCUAGUUGGUAAGGUAACGGCUUACCAAGGCAACGAUGCGUAGCCGACCUGAGAGGGUGAUCGGCCACACUGGAACUGAGACACGGUCCAGACUCCUACGGGAGGCAGCAGUAGGGAAUCUUCAGCAAUGGGCGAAAGCCUGACGGAGCAACGCCGCGUGAGUGAAGAAGGUCUUCGGAUCGUAAAACUCUGUUAUUAGGGAAGAACAAAUGUGUAAGUAACUAUGCACGUCUUGACGGUACCUAAUCAGAAAGCCACGGCUAACUACGUG